UACGUAGGGUGCAAGCGUUGUCCGGAAUUAUUGGGCGUAAAGGGCUCGUAGGCGGUUUGUCGCGUCGGGAGUGAAAACUCAGGGCUCAACCCUGAGCGUGCUUCCGAUACGGGCAGACUAGAGGUAUGCAGGGGAGAACGGAAUUCCUGGUGUAGCGGUGAAAUGCGCAGAUAUCAGGAGGAACACCGGUGGCGAAGGCGGUUCUCUGGGCAUGAUCUGACGCUGAGGAGCGAAAGUGUGGGGAGCGAACAGG
rnacentral:rRNA from 1 species